GUCACUGCUAUUGGGAUUCGACUAAGCCAUGCGAGUCGAGAGGGUUCGGCCCUCGGCUGACGGCUCAGUAACACGUGGAUAAUCUGCCCUUAGGUGGAGGAUACCCUCGGGAAACUGAGAAUAAUACUCCAUAGGUCUAGGAUGCUGGAAUGCAUCUAGACUUAAAGCUCCGGCGCCUAAGGAUGAGUCUGCGGACUAUCAGGUUGUAGUCAGGGUAAAGACCUGACUAGCCUACGACGGAUACGGGUUGUGAGAGCAAUAACCCGGAGAUGAUAUCUGAGACACGAUAUCAGGCCCUACGGGGCGCAGCAGGCGCGAAAACUUCACACUGUGCGAAAGCACGAUGAGGGAAUCCCAAGUGCUUGCACUUAGGUGUAAGCUGUUUCUUUGUUUAAAACGCAUUGAGAGUAAGAGCUGGGUAAGACGGGUGCCAGCCGCCGCGGUAAUACCUGCAGCUCGAGUGGUGGCCACUAUUAUUGGGCCUAAAACGUCCGUAGCCGGUUUAAUAAAUGCCUGGGUAAAUCGUGUAGCUUAACUAUACGAAUUCCGGGUAGACUGUUAAACUUGAGACCGGGAGAAGUUAGAGGUACUCCUGGGGUAGAGGUGAAAUUCUGUAAUCCUAGGGGGACCACCAGUGGCGAAGGCGUCUGACUAGAACGGGUCUGACGGUGAGGGACGAAGCCCUGGGGCGCAAACCGGAUUAGAUACCCGGGUAGUCCAGGGUGUAAACGCUGCUUGCUUGAUGUUGGUUGGGCUCCGAGCCCAAUCAGUGUCGGAGAGAAGUUGUUAAGCAAGCUGCCUGGGAAGUACGGCCGCAAGACUGAAACUUAAAGGAAUUGGCGGGGGAGCACAGCAACGGGUGGAGCGUGCGGUUUAAUUGGAUUCAACGCCGGG
rnacentral:rRNA from 1 species